rnacentral:rRNA from 1 species
AUCGAACGCUGGCGGCAGGCCUAACACAUGCAAGUCGAACGAGUGGCGGACGGGUAAGCAAUGUCUGGGAAACCGCCUGAUGGAGGGGGAUAACUACUGGAAACGGUAGCUAAAACCGCAUACUAUCGGAUCUGCCCAGAUGGGAUGAGCUAGUAGGUGGUGUAAAGGCUCACCAAGGCGACGAUCCCUAGCUGGUCUGAGAGGAUGACCAGCCACACUGGAACGGAGACACGGUGCAGACUCCUACGGGAGGCAGCAGUGGGGAAUAUUGCACAAUGGGCGAAAGCCUGAUGCAGCCAUGCCGCGUGUAUGAAGAAGGCCUUCGGGUUGUAAAGUACUGUCAGCGGGGGGGCGUUACCCGCAGAAGAAGCACCGGCUAACUCCGUGCCAGCAGCCGCGGUAAUUC